AUGCCACAACUUUCAGAUAACCAACUUUUUUACUUCAUAACCAUGCAAAUAUUGCAAUGCAUAAUUGAUCCCCACAGAUUGAUUCUCCUUGCUAAAUGCAUUUUUACUGACAACAGAUUCGAUACUAACAUCCACAAUGGUUACCUACUCUUCAGUAAUGAAAGAGCCCAAUUACAAUUAGCUGCCGGCGGCGGCCGCGGGCGCCACGGCGCGGUCGGCCGAGCGCGCCGUGACGCACCGGUAGGCGACGGUGGCGAGCCAGAACGCCCAGGGGAGCGCCACGAGGCCCAGGCCGACGCAGGGGAUCCAUCCGGGCGCCUCGCUCGGCGGCAGCAUGACGUAGGCCACGAGGCACCCGCCGCCGCCAAGCACGGCGAGGAGCAGCAGCACCGUCACCACCCAGAUCAACACGCUGCCGGCCGGGCUCCCGCACUGAUCCCCCUCCUGGGGCGGCGCCAUCGACCAAUCGUCGCCGGUGGAGCGGAGCUUAGGAAGACGCGAGGGCGGCGAGGACGGACGCGGAGGCGCUGGUCAAGGAGAGCAAGAAGAAGAGGGCGGCGUGCAUCGCCAGUGGCCUCCGAUCCUCGCCUUGUUGCCUUCUUGUUCGUGGACCAAGAACAUAAAAAAUGUGCCAAAAAAGUUCUGAUCUGUUAUGCUGUUCGCCCUUUUGUGGAUCGAGGAAUGCAAGAGGAGCAGCGACGGGGGAAUGGCGGAGCGCUCAAACCAAAGGAAGGUGGCCAAAAUGGAAGGAGAGGUCAAGAGAGAAUGGUGGCGAGUUAA
rnacentral:rRNA from 1 species